rnacentral:pre_miRNA from 1 species
CUACUACUCCCUCCGUCCGAAAAUACUUGUCAUCGAAAUGGAUAUAUCUAGAUGUAUUUUAGUUCUAGACACAUCCAUUUUGAUGACAAGUAAUUUCGGACGGAGGGAGUAUUAU